AUGGAAGACGCGGGGAGUCCGGCUGCGCGGGCUCCGCGGGCGGCACAGGCGGCGCAGGUUUGGCCUCCUCCUGGACCUCGUAAUCUUGUGGCGUGGGUGGAUGCAGGACCAUCCAUGGCCCCCAACCAUGCACCGGGCACGGACGCGGUGGUGGAGGAGCCACAAGUUCUGGCUCAACGUCGACGUCCACUGUGUCGUCCGCAGGCUCCAGUACCUCGUCCGCGUACAGGUUUGGAGCGGCCGGUCCGGCAAGAAUCCAGGCCGGUAGCGGCGCCGCCACCGGCAUGGCCGGUUCGGGCGGAGCAUUAG
rnacentral:rRNA from 1 species